GAACGCUAGCUACAGGCUUAACACAUGCAAGUCGAGUUUCAGCAUUUCAGUUUGCUUGCAAACUGGAGAUGGCGACCGGCGCACGGGUGAGUAACACGUAUCCAACCUGCCGAUAACUCGGGGAUAGCCUUUCGAAAGAAAGAUUAAUACCCGAUGGUAUAAUCAGACCGCAUGGUCUUGUUAUUAAAGAAUUUCGGUUAUCGAUGGGGAUGCGUUCCAUUAGGCAGUUGGUGAGGUAACGGCUCACCAAACCUUCGAUGGAUAGGGGUUCUGAGAGGAAGGUCCCCCACAUUGGAACUGAGACACGGUCCAAACUCCUACGGGAGGCAGCAGUGAGGAAUAUUGGUCAAUGGGCGCAGGCCUGAACCAGCCAAGUAGCGUGAAGGAUGACUGCCCUAUGGGUUGUAAACUUCUUUUAUAUGGGAAUAAAGUUUUCCACGUGUGGAAUUUUGUAUGUACCAUAUGAAUAAGGAUCGGCUAACUCCGUGCCAGCAGCCGCGGUAAUACCGAGGAUCCGAGCGUUAUCCGGAUUUAUUGGGUUUAAAGGGAGCGUAGGCGGACGCUUAAGUCAGUUGUGAAAGUUUGCGGCUCAACCGUAAAAUUGCAGUUGAUACUGGGUGUCUUGAGUACAGUAGAGGCAGGCGGAAUUCGUGGUGUAGCGGUGAAAUGCUUAGAUAUCACGAAGAACUCCGAUUGCGAAGGCAGCCUGCUGGACUGUAACUGACGCUGAUGCUCGAAAGUGUGGGUAUCAAACAGGAUUAGAUACCCUGGUAGUCCACACAGUAAACGAUGAAUACUCGCUGUUUGCGAUAUACAGUAAGCGGCCAAGCGAAAGCGUUAAGUAUUCCACCUGGGGAGUACGCCGGCAACGGUGAAACUCAAAGGAAUUGACGGGGGCCCGCACAAGCGGAGGAACAUGUGGUUUAAUUCGAUGAUACGCGAGGAACCUUACCCGGGCUUGAAUUGCAACUGAAUGAUGUGGAGACAUGUCAGCCGCAAGGCAGUUGUGAAGGUGCUGCAUGGUUGUCGUCAGCUCGUGCCGUGAGGUGUCGGCUUAAGUGCCAUAACGAGCGCAACCCUUAUCGAUAGUUACCAUCAGGUUAUGCUGGGGACUCUGUCGAGACUGCCGUCGUAAGAUGUGAGGAAGGUGGGGAUGACGUCAAAUCAGCACGGCCCUUACGUCCGGGGCUACACACGUGUUACAAUGGGGGGUACAGAAGGCAGCUACACGGCGACGUGAUGCUAAUCCCUAAAGCCUCUCUCAGUUCGGAUUGGAGUCUGCAACCCGACUCCAUGAAGCUGGAUUCGCUAGUAAUCGCGCAUCAGCCACGGCGCGGUGAAUACGUUCCCGGGCCUUGUACACACCGCCCGUCAAGCCAUGAAAGCCGGGGGUACCUAAAGUGCGUAACCGCAAGGAG
rnacentral:rRNA from 1 species